rnacentral:tmRNA from 1 species
GGGGGCGACACGGUUUCGACGGGGACGUUGAAGCGUCGGUCGCGUGCCCGCUGGCCUCGGGACAGCGUAAUAACCCCGGGGAACGUACAAGUGCGAACGAUAACGCGCUCGCUCUCGCGGCCUGAGUAAGGUUUAGCGGAGCCGUCGAAGGGAAGAGGCCGCCCGUGCUCUCCCGGAGGCGUCGUCGAACGGGCUAGCCCUGCCAGAGGUGAUCGGCUGGCGGGGCGAAGCAUCACGGUCGCUAGCUUCGCCGGGAGCCUGUUCACGGGCGCCCGGCGCGGCGAACCCCAAAACGUGAACUAGGGUACGUAGAAGCCGUCGUGGACCGUCCUCGGACCCGGGUUCGACUCCCGGCGCCUCCACCA